rnacentral:rRNA from 1 species
UAGGGAAUCUUCCGCAAUGGACGCAAGUCUGACGGAGCAACGCCGCGUGAGUGAAGAAGGAUUUCGGUUCGUAAAACUCUGUUGUUAGAGAAGAACAGUGCAUAGAGUAACUGUUAUGCGUGACGGUAUCUAACCAGAAAGCCACGGCUAACUACGUGCCAGCAGCCGCGGUAAUACGUAGGUGGCAAGCGUUGUCCGGAUUUAUUGGGCGUAAAGCGAGCGCAGGCGGUCAAUUAAGUCUGAUGUGAAAGCCCCCGGCUCAACCGGGGAGGGUCAUUGGAAACUGGUUGACUUGAGUGCAGAAGGGGGGAGUGAAAUUCCAUGUGUGGCGGUGAAAUGCGUAGUUAUAUGGGGGAACACCAGUGGCGAAGGCGACUCUCUGGUCUGUAACUGACGCUGAGGUUCGAAAGCGUGGGUAGCAAACAGG